UACGUAGGGUGCAAGCGUUAAUCGGAAUUACUGGGCGUAAAGCGUGCGCAGGCGGCUUUGCAAGACAGAUAUGAAAUCCCCGGGCUCAACCUGGGAACUGCAUUUGUGACUGCAUGGCUGGAGUGCGGCAGAGGGGGAUGGAAUUCCGCGUGUAGCAGUGAAAUGCGUAGAUAUGCGGAGGAACACCGAUGGCGAAGGCAAUCCCCUGGGCCUGCACUGACGCUCAUGCACGAAAGCGUGGGGAGCAAACAGG
rnacentral:rRNA from 1 species